CCAGAGCUCUGUUCGCACCCCGUUUAUUUAUCAGCAGACUUAUGACGUCGGCGGUCGAUUUACGUCACGGGACAUGACGUCAUCACUGCAAGCUACGUGCUACGUGAAAGAGACAUAUAUGAUGCUGUACUGACAUUGGUGGCGCACAUCAACAAAUGCUCCCCUGCGCUGUUUUGUGUGUUUAUUGUUUCACAUAGGUGAUUUAUCGCUGCUUAGGGCCAGCGGCCCAUCGGACAGCCUUGAGAAGACCGCCGCACGCUGUUUGCAGUCCGUCGACCUCCUGUCUUCAACGGACGGACGCCCUCGGUUCCACUCAGCAAUUGACUGAAGCCUAUCGCGCCGAUAUGCUCGGCUCAUCUUCCAUCCUCGCCCUGCCUGAUUGUUUCGACGACCCGGGCUGUGGUCCCUGAGGUUCGGAACCCGUCUCGCUGGCCUGCCAGCAGGAGGCCUGGCGCUCGUCGCAGACGAGCGCUGCAGUGUGGCCA